AAAUCUUUUGAUGUCUAAGCUAGCUCAUUAUACUGAUAUUAUAACUAGCAAAUCAACAUGAGUGAACAAAGUGAUGGUAUUAACCUAAGCAGUUAAUACUAGCCUAAUUUCAUAAUAAUCAUUUACUACUGACCGUAUGACCUUAGAUAACACCGGAAGUAGCUUGGUAAGAUUAGACAGUCUCUCCUUUUUAAAUAAACUCCUUUGAGAUAAUGAGCAGAGGAUAAAAGAACACUUCUCCGUUCAGAUGGGUUGCUUACUGCAGGUAUCAGAGCCAGAUGAUCAACAUUGAAUGUAGGUUGUGUUGAGUGUAAAUGUUAACUGCUGUUUACCAGUAUAUUUUCAGUACAUUAGCUACGUAUGCUUACAUUACUUUGACUAAAAAGAUGGAUAAUGUCAGCUGAUGCUGAAACAGUUUUGGUGUGUUGGUUCAUGUUUAUAACACCUUUACUUUUUUUACACCUGCUCCUAAUACACUGAUUUUUUUAAAUUAAGGGCAGACGUUCCCCUUAAGUAAAAUAUGUACCUUUAACAAAAAGUAAAUAGGUAAAUAAAGGCAGGUUUAUGUUAAACUCAUGUAUUCAUUCAAGGUUAGUCAGCUUUUUUGGUGACAUUUUGUCUACAAAAUAUUUAAGCUGUUUUGAUGAGUGAUGAGCUACAAAGUUUUGGUUGUUGAACGUUCAUCUGUUGUUGGGUGAGAAGUCCGACAUGAUGGCACAGAUGAACACACUACGAGGCUCAGUGCAGCAGCUGGAGGAAGAGCUGUCUGAGACACACAGGCUCUUUGACAAGAUAACGAGGGAAAGGGAGCGAGAGCAAGAGGAACACAGUAUCCUGAAAUCUAAGUAUAAUGAGAUGAGAGAAACUUUACAACAGCAGAAUGAGUUACUAAAGGAAUAUGAGCAAGAGCAGGAGGCUCAUAGUAUCCUGAAUUCGUUGUGCGAUUGUAUGUCAAACAACGAGAAGUCACUAAAGGUCUCUCUGGCUGAAGCUGAGAGGAAAUAUGAGCAGGCGAUGGAGUCCAACGCUCAGCUAGAGAACGAGAAAUCGGACCUGUUGUCCCAGAUGAACAUAUUGCAAAGCUCAGUGAAGCAGCUGGAGGAAGAGCUCACUGAGACCCAGAAAAUGCAUGAUGAGAUAACAAAUGUAAGUGAGAAAAUCCUUGAAGUAAGCAG
ensembl:lncRNA